rnacentral:rRNA from 1 species
ACGGCUCAGUAACACGUGGAUAACCUGCCCUUGGGUCCGGCAUAACCCCGGGAAACUGGGGAUAAUUCCGGAUAACGCACAUAUGCUGGAAUGCUUUAUGCGUAAAAUGGAUUCGUCUGCCCAAGGAUGGGUCUGCGGCCUAUCAGGUAGUAGUGGGUGUAAUGUACCUACUAGCCAACAACGGGUACGGGUUGUGAGAGCAAGAGCCCGGAGAUGGAUUCUGAGACGUGAAUCCAGGCCCUACGGGGCGCAGCAGGCGCGAAAACUUUACAAUGCGGGAAACCGUGAUAAGGGGACACCGAGUGCCAGCAUCAUAUGCUGGCUGUCCAGGUGUGUAAAAUACACCUGUCAGCAAGGGCCGGGCAAGACCGGUGCCAGCCGCCGCGGUAACACCGGCGGCCCGAGUGGUGAUCGUGAUUAUUGGGUCUAAAGGGUCCGUAGCCGGUUUGGUCAGUCCUCCGGGAAAUCUGACGGCUCAACCGUUAGGCUUUCGGGGGAUACUGCCAGGCUUGGAACCGGGAGAGGUAAGAGGUACUACAGGGGUAGGAGUGAAAUCUUGUAAUCCCUGUGAGACCACCUGUGGCGAAGGCGUCUUACCAGAACGGGUUCGACGGUGAGGGACGAAAGCUGGGGGCACGAACCGGAUUAGAUACCCGGGUAGUCCCAGCCGUAAACGAUGCUCGCUAGGUGUCAGGCAUGGCGCGACCGUGGUCGGUGCCGUAGGGAAGCCGUGAAGCGAGCCACCUGGGAAGUACGGCCGCAAGACUGAAACUUAAAGGAAUUGGCGGGGGAGCAC